UACGAAGGGGGCUAGCGUUGCUCGGAAUCACUGGGCGUAAAGCGCACGUAGGCGGAUUGUUAAGUCAGGGGUGAAAUCCUGGAGCUCAACUCCAGAACUGCCUUUGAUACUGGCGAUCUCGAGUCCGGGAGAGGUGAGUGGAACUCCGAGUGUAGAGGUGAAAUUCGUAGAUAUUCGGAAGAACACCAGUGGCGAAGGCGGCUCACUGGCCCGGUACUGACGCUGAGGUGCGAAAGCGUGGGAGC
rnacentral:rRNA from 1 species